GUACAGUAAUCGCUCAUUAUUGGAAUAGGAAGAAACUACAACUAUAUAAUUAUAGUAAACAUGAGUCAAAAUAUGUGAAAUAUUGCUAAACACGGGCAAACCCACUGCCAAUCCUAUGUAAACCUACUGAUACUAGCUGCAUGUCACCUCACAUUGGUGAACACUGCAAAACUACAACUAUAAUAAUAUUUAUAGUAUUCUCUACUACAUACUCGAUAAACAUUAUAUGAAACCAGAGGAGGAACGCCAGGGUCAAUAAGGUCACGUUUAAUGAAGGAUUAAACAUUCUUGUUCUAGGUUCUUGACCUUUGCUGCAUAUAGCAGCUUAGCGCUUCUGUUCUUUAUUAGCCUGCUUGGGAAGCUUACUCUAUCCAAUGCAGUAAGCCAGUACAUCAAAAUUUAUACCCUAGCCUAAUUUUCCAAUCUUGUGGUUUCGAAGAAUGUAAUAAAAGGUCAUUAAAUCCUGGAUCUAUUCUCUCAAGCUGAUUCCUCUGGGGCGCGAUAGCUCAACCGAUUCCUCUUGUGAUUAUAAAGAGGAUUAAGCUAGUGGUAGUGUAUAAACCCAGGGGCGCGAGGGUAUACUCAGUUUUACAUGUAAAACACAGGGCCAGUUUUAAUUAAUGACUUUUUGACCCUGGCAUUCCUCCUCUGAUAUGAAACAGAAGGGGUCGGUGAAACUCACUUGAGGCAUUUGAUACACUGCAUGCGUCCUAUCAAGAUUCUGUUGGUAGAAUGUAAAUCAGAGAUCAGUGUCCACCAAUAUGCUAGCUGUGAGGUGACAGCUAGCUAUAUAUUAUACUCUAGAUACGGGGGGGUGGGGCUUGCUACAGAUUCCCCCCUGGGAUUAGGCCAUAACACGAUGCCUGUGACACACCAUAGAUAGAAGAGUAAGAGGGAUUGGUAACGGAAGCAGUUCACGUGAUCAUUUUACAUUGAAUCUGCAGUAAAACCUCGAAAACUAUCCGCGUUACGCCCUAUAAACGAGGCUAUUUUGCCGGGUAACUCGCUCAAAAUAAAUAAGAUACGGGGGGGGUGGGGCUUGCUACAGAUUCCCCCCUGGGAUUAGGCCAUAACACGAUGCCUGUGACACACCAUACGUAGAACCGCAAAGUUAGUCAUUAGGGUCGCUUUUUAGCUGCAGCUAUUUUCUAAAAUGCAGUCACCUCGCUAUUUCGGCUAAGCUGCACUGUUCCAAGGGUGACCAGAUUAACGAGAGUCUACUGUAUACCACCAUGACCGUAUUGAAGUGUCUGAAAAUUCAGCACUCCAAUUUAGCAUUUAGCUUCUCAUUCAUGUACAUAUGACACCAGUGGUCACAAUUACAAUGUGGCUGAUUUUGGAAUUAUAUACUUACUACUUACUGUGUACAUUGAUGAUCACUGAUUGCUUUCUACUCACAGUUCAUUGAUAGCCCUGACGAUAGCCCUGACGAUAUUUCUGACGAUAUUUCUGAACUAUUAUUAUCCUAACAGAUCUUUCCUGUUCAUCAGAGACCGGCCCUGCAGUUUCUCACCAAAUAAUAGUCAAACUUGAGCUAAAACGUUAAUUGUAGUUGUACGUGUGUGUGUCUCCUUGAUACAUGUAGGUAUAGGUAACUUAACAUUUCAUGUCUUUUUGUAUGUUUAUUUUUCUGUUGGUCUACAAGUAUAGCCCUUCAGCCUCACAUCUUGUAAAUCAAACCUAACGCAUUUUUAUAGAAAGCCCAUAAUGUACAUCUGUAGGUAGCUAGAUCUGUACAUGCAUGUAUAAUGUCUGUAUUGAUGAUUUUGUCAAAC